UUUUUUAUAAAAAUAAUUUAUUUAUUUAAUGUUUUAGUAUUUAGUAAAAAUUAAUUUUUAGAUUUAUAGUUUAAUAGUAUUGUAAAAGAAUUAAUUAAAUUUAAAAAAGAAUAUUUUUAGUACCUUUUGUAUCAGGGUUGAUUAAAAUUUUUAAUUUUUUUUUAAUUUCUCAAAAUUUAUAGAGUUAAUUUUAUUAUUAAUUUAUUGUGUUAUAAAUAUUUAUAAAAUAAUAUUAGUUUUGAAAUUUAAUUCGUUAUAUUAUAUUUAGUUAUUUAAGAUUUAAAUUUAAUUUAUAAUUUUAAAAGUUAUAUUGAUUUUAUAUAUAAAUAUUUUAAAUUUGAAUUAUUUUAGGGAUAAGCUUGAAAUUUUUAUAUAAUAAUUUAUUUAUUUUAAUAAUUUAUAGGAAUAGAAAUUUUUAUUUAAGUUUGUAAAAAUUUAUUAUUUAUUUAUUUUUAAUUUAUUAUAAAUUUAUUUAUUUUUUUUAUUAAAUUUUAUUAAUUAAUAUUUAAUUUUUAGUAAUAAUGAUUAAAUUAGUAUAAUUUAAAUUUAUAAAUUAUGAAUUCGGCAAAAAUUAUUUUCAUCUGUUUAACAAAAACAUUGUAUUAAGUUUUAUUUAAUAUAGGAUCUGCUCAAUGAUUUAUUAAAUAGCUGCAGUAUUUUGACUGUGCAAAGGUAGCAUAAUAAUUAGUCUUUUAAUUGAGGACUUGUAUGAAAGAUUUGAUGAGAAAUAGACUUUAUUAUUUAUAAAAUUAAAAUUUUAUUUUUAAGUAAAAAAGCUUAAAUUAUUUAAAGGGACGAUAAGACCCUAUAAAACUUUAUAAAUAUUAAUUUUAAUUUUUUUGGAUUAAUAAAUAUUUUAUUUUUAUUAUUUAUUUUAUUGGGGUGAUAAAAAAAUUUAUUAAACUUUUUUUAAAAUUUUACAUUAUUUAAUGAAUAUUUGAAUUAAAAUUUUUAAUUAAAGGAAAAAGUUACUUUAGGGAUAACAGCGUAAUUAGUUUUUUAAGUUCAAAUUUAAAAAUUAGUUUGCGACCUCGAUGUUGAAUUAAGAUUAAUCUUAGGUGCAAAAUUUUAAGUAUUAGGUCUGUUCGACC
rnacentral:rRNA from 1 species